UGCUCGUCCUCCAGCAGGAAGAGGUUCUCCUUCUCGCAGUAGAAGGCGGCCGCAUCCAGGAGGGCCUUCAGCGGCACCAGGCCCACCAGCUGCGAGCCCACCACCGGGAGGCUCAGCUCCUGCGGAGGUCGGAGGUACCAGCCGAUGGCCUGCACCUUCUUCAGGCGUCCUGGCUGCGAAGCACGAGGCUUUCCCAGACCCGCCUGCCCCUCCGCUCCGGGGCCCUGAACUGACAGCCCCUUCCUUAGCCGACCCGAGGCCUCCUUCUACCCGAGUCGAGAACCAAGUCUGCAGGACGCAGCUGCCCCCGGCCCGGGCUCUGGGGUGGGGGCUGCCAGGUCGAGGGCAAUGCGGUGCGCCUGCUCCCUGGUGCUGAGCAGGUUGACGUUGAACGCGAGGAGGAA